GGUGACGCGGGUCGGCGGCGGCGUGACGUCACUUCCGGGACGCGGCUCCGCUAGAAAUGGACGACAGUCUUCAGCUGGCAGACGGAGGAGUUACUAAAAAUGUUGCCAGAUCAGGCAGAAGAGCUCGUCAGGCCGCUGAGAUGAUGAGCGCUGAAGACUCUCGUCAGAGGAAAUCAUCUUCAUCACUCAGCAACGCAGCAGAGGGACCUCCACCGAAACCGGCCCGUCGGCAGGGAGGAUGGGCGGAGGAGAGCACAGGAACCGGAUCUGCCAAGU